GUUAUGCUCAAGGGAAAGAGAAGUAAUAUUAGACAGGCAUUUAUUGCAUGUUGAAAUCUAAUGUUCCUGUGGCUAUGGAUUUUCUCACACAGGUAUAUAGUAUGUGUGUGUGUAUAUGAUCUGAUUCCUGCCCAAUUGUUUUCAUCUUCUCUAUCUCUUCAUUCCUCUUUUUUGGCUUUUAGUUAACCAAAUUGCUAUGAGUAGGAGGUUGUAUCUAAGCCAUUUAUCUUGGACUAUUCCUUCCUCCCCAUGAUGAAGAACCUCUCUGUUCCAGCCACUGCUAUAUAUAUGGACAUAUGUGAGCAGCUCUGCAGCCAAAACUAAAUGAUCCAAGCUCUGUCUCUUCUUGGACAAACCCCUCUUAUGUUCUUCAACAGUCUUAGUUUUCCAUUUGUGCUCUCAAAUCUGGCUCAUCACAAGUCUUGAAGUUUCAGCCUGUGUAGACACUGUUUUCUCAGUUAGUUCUCCUUUUAUCCAGCAUUUUGUUUUCACUCUAUUUAAGAACACAUUUGCUGAGGAUCUUUCUCUCUUCAACACUUGUGUGCGAUCACUAGUUCUACAGCAGCUUCUCCAAUAGCUGUUGUUCUUAUGACGAUUAUGCAAAGAAGAAUCGAAAAUAAGCGAUCAACCGCAAGGGAGUUUAGUACGGGCAAUCAGCAUGAUUCUCCAAUCCUGCAACUAAAGCUCUAUGGGCCACCCAUGGCGUCAAAUCUCAAGCAGGUCUGGGUUCCCGGCCCCCUGAUCGUAGGAGCUGGACCUUCAGGUCUUGCCACAGCUGCGUGCCUCAAAGACAGAGGUGUCCCUUCUCUGAUACUCGAGAAAGAGACUUGCAUCGCCCCUUCGUGGAAGCUCAGGACCUACGAGCGCCUGAGGCUUCAUCUCCCCAGGCAGUACUGCGAGCUCCCCUUCAUGGCCUUCCCACCAGACUUGCCGACGUACCCCACCAAGCAGCAGUUCGUAAGCUACUUGGAUGCCUACGUCGAACACUUCGACAUCAAACCAUUGUUCGGCGUGGAGGUUGGGCACGCCGAGUAUGAUCCGAGCACUGGGUUCUGGCGAGUGCAGACGAACGACUUGGAGUUCAUAUGCCGGUGGCUCGUCGUUGCGACGGGGGAGAAUGCAGAGGCUGUGUGGCCAGAUAUCCGCGGGAUCUCAAAGUUUCGUGGACGGGUGCUGCACACCAGCUGCUACGUGAAGGGAGAUGACCACCUGGGAGAGAAGGUUUUGGUGGUGGGCUGUGGCAAUUCAGGCAUGGAGGUUGCUUUGGACCUCUGUUACAAUGAUGUUAAGGUUUCCAUGGUGGUUAGAGAUAAGUUGCACAUCUUGCCGAGGGAAUUACUUGGGAUCUCAACGUUUGGACUCUCCAUGUUCCUGCUAAAGUGGAUUCCCGUUGAAAUGGCAGAUGCUUUCCUCCUGUUUUGCGCGAGGCUGAUACUGGGAGAUACAGGAAAGUAUGGGAUAAAGCGUCCUAAGGUUGGGCCACUGGAGCUCAAGAGCACCACCGGCAAGACCCCAGUAUUGGACAUCGGCACUCUGGCCAAGAUUAAAAGCGGCCAAAUUAAGGUUGUCCCUGACGUGAAGCAGUUCACAGAUACAGGGGUCGACUUCGUGGAUGGUACGCAUGAGGACUUCGAUUCCAUCAUCUUAGCAACAGGCUACAGAAGCAGCGUCACUUCCUGGCUCAAGGUACAUGAGAAUAUCGCACACUUUGUAGGCAGAUCACUGUAAGAUUAUAAUUGUUCGACAAGCUAAAUCUAUUCUGGUCCUGAGAAAAAAUUCGGAUUAGGUCCUGAGAGCUCCAUAGGAUUAGUUCUUGCAGAACCUCUUGCAGCUGAUUGAUGAUUUCCUGUGUGAAGAGAGUUCAACUUUGGGAUAGAUAGAUAGAUAGAUAGAUAGAUAGAUACAAGAACGAACAUAGUUCAUGGCUCCAGGGACAUCACACCUCACAAGUGCACCCAAAGGAUCUCUCCACUUAUCGCUAGCAAUUUGGAAGCAUGGGCGAUGAGGGCGAUUCGUUUGAGAAGAACAUGCAAUUGAACUCCGAUGGUGACUUUGGUCCAUGGCAGAGACAUCCAAUUCACUACCACUUCAAAAAGAGCGCACUGAUGCAUCCGCUCCACCCGCUCUGUUUGCAAGCACAUGCAGUACCAGUGAAGGGAGCACCGAGAGGACACAUCUGAGUCUGACCUCCCCGACGCCCAUUCUGUGUGUGGACGGGAGAGAGUGCAAUCAUGUGGAGGAGAAGGACGAGGAGUUCUUCAGUCAGAAGAAUGGCUUCCCGGGGACUUCGUUCCCUAAUAGCUGGAGAGGAAACAAUGGCCUGUAUGCCACUGGUUUCACCAGGAGAGGAUUGCUGGGAGCUGCCAUGGAU